UACGUAGGUGGCGAGCGUUUGUCCGGAAUUACUGGGUGUAAAGCGCGUGUAGGCGGGAGGCCAAGUCUGCUGUGAAAUCGCCCGGCUCAACUGGGCGGGGUCGGUGGAAACUGGUCACCUGGAGGACGGUAGAGGCGAGUGGAAUUCCCGGUGUAGUGGUGAAAUGCGUAGAGAUCGGGAGGAACACCAGUGGCGAAGGCGGCUCGCUGGGCCGGCCCUGACGCUGAGACGCGAAGGCGUGGGGAGCGAACGGG
rnacentral:rRNA from 1 species